CUGUCUCAAAAAAAAUAAAAAAUAAAAAAAAUAAAGUAGAAAGGGAAACCAAAAUAAAUGAAUAUAGCUCUAUGCAAAAUAUCACUAUUCAUACAGCAUUUUAUAAUUUCCAAAGUCCUCCAACAUAUUUCAGUUGUUUUCCUCAUAACUCUUAAGUUAGCACUGAUAAUGUCCCUGCUUAAGAAAAGGGGUGCUUUUGCAAUUUCGCACAGGGUCUCAGGGCCAAAAUAGAAUUAGAACCCAGAUCUUCUAUAUUCCUAAAACAGAACUUUCAGGAAGUUAAGGAAACAAAGACCAACCAUGAGAAGAAACAGAAUUAACUCCUGAGGCUUCUAUUAAUACUAUUUAUUCUGUUGCUCAUCUCUUCUCAAGUUUACUUUGUCUCUGAAACAUACCAACAGAAAUAGGGAGCAAUGACUUCCAUGCUUCCAUAUACCUACUGCCAAAGAAAUCAAGAGGCCAUGGCACUUCCAUUUAUAAAGUAAUUCUCCUUAGGAGGUGUCUUCUGCCUUUCCUACUUUUCACUUCUGAGGCCCAUCAUCAGCCAAAACAGAGGUGUUUCGACCAGCCAUCUGUUUCAGAUACUCACCAAAGCCAGGCAAUGAUUUGCUAAUUGCAAUUACCACAUUGAAUAAAAAAGGUGGUAGCAAGAAGGACCAACAUUGUUUGACAGGUGGAUUAAAUGCAAACUCAAUUGAACAAUAAAGAUAUUUUGAAUCUA